GCGGAUGUGGCGAAAUUGGUAUACGCGUUAGAUUUAGGAUCUAAAGCUUGAAAAAGCGUAAGGGUUCAAGUCCCUUCAUCCGCA
rnacentral:tRNA from 1 species